rnacentral:lncRNA from 1 species
CCAGGGAAAUGUCCCAAAGAUGGGACUGGGCUUUGCCCAGUCUGCAUUACCUAAAGAUUAACUAGGUCUAAAGUUCCAUUCAGUUCUUCAGCAGUGGCAACUUUGAUCUCUAGUGGUCUAUGACACUGCAGAACAAGAAACAAAAGCUGCAUGCCGCUGGAAAUAGGAGGGAACCCAGGUUUUAGCCCUGGGAUGUUAUAUAAGAACUGCAUAACUUUGACUCUCUGGAUUCUGCUGGCAUCAGCUGAAAUGCAGCAGGAGGAGAUAUCCACCACCUUGACAUCCUAUGUGAAUCAAGCUCACAGCAACCACCUCCAAGUAAACAGAUAUAUAGCAAGGCCACCCCAGUUGAGGCAGAAAAAGGAAGCCAAUGAGAAUUCAAUACUUCAGUAUUGGCAGACUUUGGCAGUUCUGCAAGAAUGACCAACCUGUGUCUUGAAGGGCAGAAGUUCAUGAACAAAUGGAAGAUGGAUGCAGAAGGAAAGAAGACAGAGUCAACAAGUUAAAGCAUCAGCAGGGAAAUUACACAGAUAGUAUUACUUCACCAAGAGAGAUAGGAGGAAACAGAUCCAAACCAUUCUACAGAAACAUUCACCAAGCUGGAAACAUGAAGAGUAAGAGAACACCCAGCUGAGGAGAAAUUAGGAGGAAUAAUGUGUGUUGGUAGAUUAAAGAACUGACUGAUUACAGAACUGAAUAAUUAAGUGGAAUAUUGUGCAAUGCAGUACUACAGGCAAAAUACAAAAGAGAGAGCAAUUUCCUGAAGGGUGCAAUCAGCAAACUGGGAUUUUCUGAGCUUUUUAAGUGAAAAUGUGUUGUAUUACUCUUGUGUGAGGGGAGGCAGCCUUAAGCUUAGUUGCACCAUCCUCAGUGAAGCAAAGGAAGAGAUUGUUCCUGAGAGAAUGAAGAGCCUCCUAUAAUGGACUGAUGUGCAUGAUGGGUAGUGACUUCAUGCCUUUAUUUAACACAGCAAACUUGUUUUUUGUAGUGCCUCUGCUCCAUGGACAAAGAGGAAUUUCUCUGUGUAUUCUUUUUACCAAGAUACAUGGGAACUUACUGAGAUUUAACCUGGAAAACAAAGAAUUAGGAAAGCAAAUUUAAACAUCUGCAUAUGCCAGCAAGGACAGUCAACAAUCGGCCCUUAUUUUCUGGGUGUGCUUUUUGGUCACCUGUGGGAAAUACUUUGUUGCAAAAAUGGAGCUUCCUUUUCCAGAGGGGUCCAAAACAGCCACCAGUUUAUGGAACCGUGGUUGUCAUGCACUGGGGGAUAUGGUUGAAGCAAACACAAAUCUUUAGCAAUUUCCCAGUCUGUGCUUGCCUUCAGAGCUACCUUAGAUGAGUGCUCAAAGAUUAUAUAACCUGGCAGCAGCUCUUUAGGCUGGUUUGUGAGCCUACAAUAUUUGCCAUAGCUUGCUUAAACUAAAAAAGUUGUGCUUGAUCAGGGUUAUUUAAAUACUGUUGUCACAAGUGUAGCUUCUCUCAGAUGUCAGACAUCAUCACGUUUUUUCUAAUUAAAACAGUUUGCAAUAAUUAAAUUGUAUGUGGCUGUAUUUCUACUUAGAAAAGGCUAAAUAGUUGGCAAGCCUCCUAAAGUAGGAUUAGACUGCAGACCAGCUCAGACAAUGCUUCCAGGCAUUGGGGAUGUACUGCAAAAUGAGUUUAAUAAAGUCUGAUUAGAUUACUUUCUCUGGUCA